rnacentral:rRNA from 1 species
AUGGGCUCCUCCAUGCUGGGAGGAACCACAGUGAUGCAGCAGCAUAUCAUUGCUGCCUUCCAUGACAGCCCGAUGGGGGGUCACUCCGGGUUCCCAGUGACAUAUCACCGCGUGCGUAGGCUCUUUGCGUGGCCCAAGAUGAAAGCACACAUCCAGCAAUAUGUGAGAUGCCGCCAGGUAUGCCAACAAGCCAAGAUGGAUAGGGCAGCUUCACCAGGCCUGUUGCUACCCCUCCCUAUACCAAAGGAAUCGUGGGAUCUAAUCACCAUGGAUUUCAUGGACGGGUUACCUCAAUCAGGGCAAUACAACUGCUUACUGGUUCUCAUCGACAAGAGAACUCAGUUUGCUCACUUUCUUCCUCUGGCUCACCCAUACACAACAUCUAAAGUGUCUAUGCUCUAUAUGCAACAGUUGUACAAACUCCAUGGCUUUCCUGGAGCAAUCGUGUCCGAC